rnacentral:rRNA from 1 species
GUCGCAACGCACAGCGAAAGGUGCUUGCACCUUUCAAGUGAGUGGCGAACGGGUGAGUAACACGUGGACAACCUGCCUCAAGGCUGGGGAUAACAUUUGGAAACAGAUGCUAAUACCGAAUAAAACUUAGUGUCGCAUGACACAAAGUUAAAAGGCGCUUCGGCGUCACCUAGAGAUGGAUCCGCGGUGCAUUAGUUAGUUGGUGGGGUAAAGGCCUACCAAGACAAUGAUGCAUAGCCGAGUUGAGAGACUGAUCGGCCACAUUGGGACUGAGACACGGCCCAAACUCCUACGGGAGGCUGCAGUAGGGAAUCUUCCACAAUGGGCGAAAGCCUGAUGGAGCAACGCCGCGUGUGUGAUGAAGGCUUUCGGGUCGUAAAGCACUGUUGUAUGGGAAGAACAGCUAGAAUAGGAAAUGAUUUUAGUUUGACGGUACCAUACCAGAAAGGGACGGCUAAAUACGUGCCAGCAGCCGCGGUAAUACGUAUGUCCCGAGCGUUAUCCGGAUUUAUUGGGCGUAAAGCGAGCGCAGACGGUUUAUUAAGUCUGAUGUGAAAGCCCGGAGCUCAACUCCGGAAUGGCAUUGGAAACUGGUUAACUUGAGUGCAGUAGAGGUAAGUGGAACUCCAUGUGUAGCGGUGGAAUGCGUAGAUAUAUGGAAGAACACCAGUGGCGAAGGCGGCUUACUGGACUGCAACUGACGUUGAGGCUCGAAAGUGUGGGUAGCAAACAGGAUUAGAUACCCUGGUAGUCCACACCGUAAACGAUGAACACUAGGUGUUAGGAGGUUUCCGCCUCUUAGUGCCGAAGCUAACGCAUUAAGUGUUCCGCCUGGGGAGUACGACCGCAAGGUUGAAACUCAAAGGAAUUGACGGGGACCCGCACAAGCGGUGGAGCAUGUGGUUUAAUUCGAAGCAACGCGAAGAACCUUACCAGGUCUUGACAUCCUUUGAAGCUUUUAGAGAUAGAAGUGUUCUCUUCGGAGACAAAGUGACAGGUGGUGCAUGGUCGUCGUCAGCUCCUGUCGUGAGAAGUUGGGGUUAAAUCCCGCCACCAGCGCAACCCUUAUUGUUAUUUGGCCGCCAUUCCAAUGGGGGCUCUAUCGAGAAUGGCCGGUGACAAACCGGAGGAAGGGGGGGGAGACAAUCAGAAAAAUAUGGCGCCUUUUAACUGGGGGUACCACCCGGCUUCAAAGGGGGUUACAACAAAUUGCCACCCCGCCGGGGGGGGGAAUCCCUUAAA